rnacentral:rRNA from 1 species
AACGAACGCUGGCGGCAUGCCUAACACAUGCAAGUCGAACGAGACCUUCGGGUCUAGUGGCGCACGGGUGCGUAACGCGUGGGAACCUGCCCUUAGGUUCGGAAUAACUCCCCGAAAGGGGUGCUAAUACCGGAUAAUGUCUUCGGACCAAAGAUCUAUCGCCUUUGGAUGGGGCCGCGUUGGAUUAGCUAGUUGGUAGGGUAAAAGCCUACCAAGGCGACGAUCCAUAGCUGGUCGGAGAGGAGGAUCUGCCACGCUGGGACUGAGACACGGCCCAGACUCGUACGGGAGGGAGCAGUGGGGAAUAUUGGACAAUGGGCGAAAGCCUGGUCCAGCAACGCCGCGUGAGUGAUGAAGGCCUUAGGGUUGUAAAGCUCUUUUAGCCGGGAUGAUAAUGACAGUACCGGGAGAAUAAGCACCGGCUAACUCCGUG